rnacentral:rRNA from 1 species
UGGGGAAUAUUGCACAAUGGGCGCAAGCCUGAUGCAGCCAUGCCGCGUGUAUGAAGAAGGCCUUCGGGUUGUAAAGUACUUUCAGCGAGGAGGAAGGCGUUGUGGUUAAUAACCGCAACGAUUGACGUUACUCGCAGAAGAAGCACCGGCUAACUCUGUGCCAGCAGCCGCGGUAAUACGGAGGGUGCAAGCGUUAAUCGGAAUUACUGGGCGUAAAGCGCACGCAGGCGGUCUGUCAAGUCGGAUGUGAAAUCCCCGGGCUCAACCUGGGAACUGCAUCCGAAACUGGCAGGCUAGAGUCUUGUAGAGGGGGGUAGAAUUCCAGGUGUAGCGGUGAAAUGCGUAGAGAUCUGGAGGAAUACCGGUGGCGAAGGCGGCCCCCUGGACAAAGACUGACGCUCAGGUGCGAAAGCGUGGGGAGCAAACA